rnacentral:rRNA from 1 species
AGUGAACGCUGGCGGUAGGCCUAACACAUGCAAGUCGAACGGCAGCACAGUAAGAGCUUGCUCUUACGGGUGGCGAGUGGCGGACGGGUGAGGAAUACAUCGGAAUCUACUUUUUCGUGGGGGAUAACGUAGGGAAACUUACGCUAAUACCGCAUACGACCUACGGGUGAAAGCCGGGGAUCUUCGGACCUUGCGCGAUUGAAUGAGCCGAUGUCGGAUUAGCUAGUUGUCGGGGUAAAGGCCCACCAAGGCGACGAUCCGUAGCCGGUCUGAGAGGAUGAGCAGAGUCGCUGGAACGAGAGAACGUUCCAGACUACUACGAGAGGGAGCAGGGGCGAAUAUUGAACGAAGGGCGCAGUCCGGAUCUAGCCACACCGGGGGAAAGAAGAAGGCCGUCGGGUUGUAAAGUUCAGUUGUCGUGAAAGAAAUGAAGCACGUUAAUACCCCGCGAUUCUGACGGUACCCAAAGAAUAAGCACCGGCUAACUACGUG